GACGAACGCUGGCGGCGUGCUUAACACAUGCAAGUCGAGCGGUAAGGCCCUUUCGGGGGUACACGAGCGGCGAACGGGUGAGUAACACGUGGGUGACCUGCCCUCAGCUCUGGGAUAAGCCCGGGAAACUGGGUCUAAUACUGGAUAUGACUCCAUGACGCAUGUUGUGGGGUGGAAAGCCUUGUGCGGCUGAGGAUGGGCCCGCGGCCUAUCAGCUUGUUGGUGGGGNGAUGGCCUACCAAGGCGACGACGGGUAGCCGGCCUGAGAGGGCGACCGGCCACACUGGGACUGAGACACGGCCCAGACUCCUACGGGAGGCAGCAGUGGGGAAUCUUGCGCAAUGGGCGAAAGCCUGACGCAGCGACGCCGCGUGAGGGAUGAC
rnacentral:rRNA from 1 species